rnacentral:rRNA from 1 species
UGGGGGAUAUUGCACAAUGGGCGAAAGCCUGAUGCAGCGACGCCGCGUGGGGGAUGAAGGCUUUCGGGUUGUAAACCUCUUUCGCUAUCGAACAAGGCCCGCUUAGGGUGGGUUGAGGGUAGGUGGAGAAGAAGCGCCGGCUAACUACGUGCCAGCAGCCGCGGUAAUACGUAGGGCGCGAGCGUUGUCCGGAAUUAUUGGGCGUAAAGGGCUUGUAGGCGGCUUGUUGCGCCUGCUGUGAAAACGCGGGGCUUAACUUCGCGCGUGCAGUGGGUACGGGCAGGCUUGAGUGUGGUAGGGGUGACUGGAAUUCCAGGUGUAGCGGUGGAAUGCGCAGAUAUCUGGAGGAACACCGAUGGCGAAGGCAGGUCACUGGGCCAUUACUGACGCUGAGGAGCGAAAGCAUAGGUAGCGAACAGG